UACCUUGUAGUAUAUAAUAACAAUUACUAUAAACUGCAACUUUAUAAAAGCAAUUAGCCAAGGUAU
rnacentral:tRNA from 1 species